rnacentral:rRNA from 1 species
UACGAAGGGGGCUAGCGUUGCUCGGAAUCACUGGGCGUAAAGCGCACGUAGGCGGAUCGUUAAGUCAGGGGUGAAAUCCUGGAGCUCAACUCCAGAACUGCCCUUGAUACUGGCGACCUUGAGUUCGGGAGAGGUGAGUGGAACUGCGAGUGUAGAGGUGAAAUUCGUAGAUAUUCGGAAGAACACCAGUGGCGAAGGCGGCUCACUGGACUGGUAUUGACGCUGAGGUGCGAAAGCGUGGGGAGCAAACAGG